rnacentral:hammerhead_ribozyme from 1 species
ACACUGCUGAGGAGUCCCACAAUAGGACCAUACGGCCGUCCAGUGU